UACGUAGGGGGCAAGCGUUGUCCGGAAUUAUUGGGCGUAAAGAGCUCGUAGGCGGUUUGUUGCGUCGGCUGUGAAAUCCCGAGGCUCAACCUCGGGUCUGCAGUCGAUACGAGCAAACUAGAGUGUUGCAGGGGAGACUGGAAUUCCUGGUGUAGCGGUGAAAUGCGCAGAUAUCUGGAGGAACACCGGUGGCGAAGGCGGCAUCCUGGACCAACACUGACACUGAGGAGCGAAAGCCAGGGGAGCAAACGGG
rnacentral:rRNA from 1 species